UCUCUCUUUCUCUGAGUCUGCAUGAACUCAUUCACUCCGUUCCCUCGCCUGCUCUUGCUCACUCCCUCCCUCUCUCCCUAUUCUCUCUCUUGCUCCCUCCCUCUCUCCCUUGCUCCCUCCCUCUCUCCCUAUUCUCUCUCUAGUUCCCUCCCUUCAUGAAACACACUCUCUAUUACCCAGUUGCACAGAGAGGGAUCGAGAGACAGGAACAGCGCUAAGAGGGAAUGGGAGAGGAGAGAAUGCCGGACAUGCUGACCAGAAACGGAUUCAGAUUUUUUUAUUUGGACAGAAAAGGAGCAUGAAAACGGGACAUUACACAGAUCAGACUGCGGCAGCCUCAGCAACCAUGACGAGAACGGUGAGUUUGAGUUCCCUCUCUUCCUUUCUUCCUCUCUCCCAUCGCCCUCCUACUCUUCCUGACAGACAGCCCUUAUUCGAGAUGCUGCCUUUACUGUAUUAGGUCUACCAUAAGCUCUGUGUAAUGUCACUAUAGCGAAUAGUCAUGUUCCCGGCG
rnacentral:lncRNA from 1 species